GAUGAAGAACGCAGCGAAAUGCGAUAAGUAAUGUGAAUUGCAGAAUUCAGUGAAUCAUCGAAUCUUUGAACGCACCUUGCACUCCUUGGUAUUCCGAGGAGUACGCCUGUUCGAGUGUUAUGAAGCUCUCAAAACGCAAUUGGCUUAAAACCUGAUUGUUGUUUUGGAUUUGAACUUUGCCGUGUUAUAACGGCUGGUUUUAAAAGUAUUAGCUGGUACUAGAACGAAUUGGUUCUACUCAACGUGAUAAUUAUCUGAUCGUUGAGGACAUUCCUUUCACGAGGAAUGGCCAUAGUAAAUUCAAUGGACUGCUUCUAAUCUGGCUUUAAUUCUUUAUUGGAUUAACCACUUUUCAAAUCUGACCUCGAAUCAGGUGGGACUACCCGCUGAACUUAAGCAUAUCAUAAGCGGAGGA
rnacentral:misc_RNA from 1 species